UACGGAGGGUGCAAGCGUUGUUCGGAAUUACUGGGCGUAAAGGGCUCGUAGGCGGCCAACUAAGUCAGACGUGAAAUCCCUCGGCUUAACCGGGGAACUGCGUCUGAUACUGGAUGGCUAGAGUUUGGGAGAGGGAUGCGGAAUUCCAGGUGUAGCGGUGAAAUGCGUAGAUAUCGGGAGGAACACCAGUGGCGAAGGCGGCGAUCUGGGUCGAUACUGACGCUGAGGUGCGAAAGCGUGGGGAGCAAACAGA
rnacentral:rRNA from 1 species